UUUACAGGUUGUCUAUGAAAGUAGGCCAUU
rnacentral:piRNA from 1 species